AUCAACUCCCACCCCCUCCUCCACACUGGGGCAAAGUCAAACACAGGCGCCUCCUAUCCCAGGGAACUUUGGCCUCAGCCCUGAGACCAGCUCAGACAGAAGACCAUGGGGAAGGCGCACAGCCUGGUGGGAAGGCAGCUGUGUCACAAGGUUUGAGGACACGGAACAGCCUAGCCUGCUCCUGCCCUGUGAGCUGGGGAAACGGAGGACGGACGUGAACGGCAGAAGUCACUGGUCAGUAGCUGCACCCCUUGGCAUACAGAAGUUCCCGGGGGCCAGGGAUGGAAUCUGAGCCACGCCUAUGAUCCAUGCCCCAGCGCAGCAACGCGGGAUCCUUAACCUACUGCGCCCCAGCGCGGAUUCCUACAUUCGCUUUCCUGAGCCCUUCUAGCCCUACGCUGAGUGUUCCAGACUGAGGCCUCCAGGCCUCAACUGCGCCCUGGACCCACAGCCCCCACGUCUGGAUCGAACCAUUGCUCACCAAAUCCACGGCCAGCGGCCUGUUGGGACCCAACAUCACCUCCCGCCUGGACCGACUGGACCACCGUGUCACCACCUCCGCGAUGGAUUCCCGGCCUCAGCCCUCGCCCCAUCAGUUCCCCGGCGCGGCCGCCAGAGGGCGCCAGUUCCCGUUCGCGUUCCUCGGCUCAGACCCCUUCGUGGCUCUCGCUCAGCCUCAAAGCCAAGUCCCCUCCGUGGUUUCCCAGACCCGGCACCAUCUGCCUUCAAUUUCUGCCCUCUCCCUGCUUCAUCUGCUUCAGUCACCCUGGCCCUCCUCGCUGUGCCCACUACACGCCAAGCAAUCCCACCCCAGGGUCUUUGCACCGGCUGUUCUGCUGAAUCACAGUUGCCCUUGGGAUCCUGACUCAAAUACCUCCUCUUAUUGCCGCUGUGGUGCAGUGGGUUAAGGACCCGACUGCAGCGGCGGGGGUUGCUGCGGAGGAGCAGGUUCCAUCCCCAGCCCAGCAGAGUCGGUUAAAGGAUGCAGCCUUGCCCAGCAUAGGUCGUGGCUGCGGCUGGGGUUCAAUCUCUGGCCCAGGAGCUGCCAUAUGCCGCCAGUGCAGCCAUUAAAAACAAAAAAAUUUUUUUAAAUGUCCCCUCUUAGGAAGCUUUCUCAGUACUCACACUUCCUCAAAGAGCCCGCAGAUACACUUUUUAAAAAAACUUUUCCUGGUAAAGCUCAUACCAAGUUAUUGCUGGGUGACACAGGAUGUCUGAGAUUUGCUUUAAAAUAUUCCAGAAAAGGUGAAGAAAAGAUGAAGCUGUGACAAGGCCGGAUCCUUACCCCACUGGGUUGGGCUGGGACUGAACUUGCCUCCCAGAGCUCCCCAGAUACCCCCAAGCCCGUUGCAGCACAGAGAGAACUCCGAGAACGGCGGCACGUUGAUUGUAGCACUGAGGGGUGGGCAUGUGAGUUCAGUAUAUAAUCCGCUCUGCUUUUGUGUGUCCUUGCAAAAUGACAUAAUAAAAGGUUUUUUUCUUUUCUUUUGCUUUUUAGGGCCACACCUGCGGCAUAUGGAGGUUCUCGGGCUAAUUCUGAGCUUCAGCUGCCAGCCUAGACCACAGCCACAGCGACACCAGAUCUGAGCCUCGUCUGUGACCUAACCAUAGCUCAUAGCGGCACUGGAUCCUUAACCCAUGGAGCAAGGCCAGGGAUCAAACCCGAAUCCUAAUGGUUACUAGUCGGAUUCACUACCACUGAGCCACGACAGGAACUCCAUAAAAGGUUUCAUAGCAUUGCCUUUACACUGGCCCAUCACUCUUGGUCCCAUUCCUUCCCUUCACUUUUUUUGAGUAGCAUUUAUCACUCCCUGACUUUUUUUUUUUUAAUUUAUUGCUUUUUAGGGCCACACCCACAGCAUAUGGAAAUUCCCAGGCUAGGGGUCAAUUUGGAGCUGCAGCCUACACCACAGUCACAGCAACGCCAGAUCCAAGCCGCAUCUGCAAGCUUCACCACAGCUCAUGGCAAUGCCAGAUCCUUAACCCACUGAGUGAGGCCAGAGAUGGAACCUGAAUCUUCAUGGAUACUAGUUGGAUUCAUUACUGCUGAGCCACAGUGGGAACUCUCUUUUUUUAAACAUGUUAUGGCCUCACCCUCAGCAUCUGGAAGUUCCCAGGCCAGGGACUGAAUCCGAGCCACAGCAGUGACCUACACCGCAGCUGCAGAAAUGCCAGAUCCUUUAACCCACUGCACCAACCCAGGGAUUGAACCCGCACCUCCACCGUGACCCAAACUGCUGCAGUUGGAUUCUUAACCCGCUGUGCCUUGGCGAGAACUCCUAGAUGCAUUUCUUUUCUACAGAGAAUGAGCCCUUUUGGAAUAAUAUCAAAGCAGACACAGAGAACCUCUGGCUCUGAGACAAAGUGGGUCUGAGAAUCUGAUUGUCAAGGGCUCCCCCAGAUCUGGUGGCCAGGACCCCAGCUCUCACCUUGGUCAGCGUGUACAUCCCCAGCAGGUUCAGCUCCAGCAGCUGCCGGAAGCCUUGGAUGGAGGUCUCCUCAGGCCACUGCAGAGGUGGAUCUAAGGGUAGGGUGGGAGAGAGAGAGGAGCAGAGGAUGAGGGUGCCAGGAGAAGACAGAGAACAGGACAGGGCCGUAGGCACUGUGGCAGGCGGUGUAGAGGUGGGGGGUGGGGAACACAGGGUGGGGAGUGGCAGACGAGAGGGUCAGAGAUCCUGAAAAGGUAAGGCAGCAGCAUAAUGGGUACUAGAAAAUGUGCUCCAGGAGUUUCCUGGUGGUCUAGUGGAUAGAAUUUGGUGCUGUCACAGCUGCAGCCCAGAUUCAAUCCCUGGACUGGGAACUGAGAUCCCACCUCAGGCUGCUGCAUGCCGCAGGGGGAAAAAAAAAGCAAUCUCACAACUGGAUUGAGGAGACGUGGUUUAUAUACAAAUGGAGUAUCACUCAGCCUUUAAAAAGAAUAAAAAAAUAAAUUAAAUAAAUGAAUGAAA